rnacentral:rRNA from 1 species
CNGGACCGAUCGGCGGCGUUUCGUUCUUUCGCGAGAGCGGGGCGCGCGCGCGGAUCGGUUUGAUGUUCCGUAGGCCACCUUCGUCGGACGUCGCGACCCGUUUGGCGCUGAUCGGAGGAUCGAGGAGACAGUUCGCGCGUUGUUGUCGCACGUCGGCGGCGACGCGCGAGCCUUCGAUUCCGAGUCAGCUCGCUCGACGGUAUGACGGUGGUGUCCGAGUGGCGGUUAACGCGCGUCUUAGGACGCGUAUUACUCNCUCGGUGCCGGUCUGCGACGAUUCUUCGGGCCUCUUUCCGACCCGUCUUGAAACACGGACCAAGGAGUCUAACGUGUGCGCGAGUCGCGGGGUNUUGUAGGCGGGGGAGGCGGUGUCGCGUUUCGGCGAGAUCUCCCCACAAGCGUCGACGUUAUUCGAACGAAACCCGAAGAAGGCGUAAUGAAAGUGAAUUUUGGGAGGAUGGCGCCUCGAGUACACCUUCUGGGCGAUUAAGCCGAGACCGAGUGCCCGCACUCCCGGGGCGUCCCGCUAAGUCCGGCCGGUAUUUACGGGGGCGACGCGUUCGCGCGUCGUCCUCGAUUGCCGCCGAACUGGGGCGCACUCUUAGCGUACACGUUGGUACCCGAAAGAUGGUGAACUAUGCCCGGCCAGGAUGAAGUCAGGGGAAACCCUGAUGGAGGUCCGCAGCGAUUCUGACGUGCAAAUCGAUCGU